rnacentral:rRNA from 1 species
UGGCUCAGAACGAACGCUGGCGGCAUGCCUAACACAUGCAAGUCGAACGAGACCUUCGGGUCUAGUGGGGCGCCGGUGCCGAACGGGGGGAAUCUGCCCUUAGGUACGGAAUAACUCAGGGAAACUUGAGCUAAUACCGUAUAAUGACUCCGCUCCAAAGACUUAUCGCCUGAGGAUGAGCCCGCGGCCUAUCAGCUUGUUGGUGAGGUAGUGUCUCACCAAGGCGA